rnacentral:rRNA from 1 species
UACAGAGGGGGCAAGCGUUGUUCGGAAUUACUGGGCGUAAAGGGCGCGUAGGCGGCCUGCUAAGUCGAACGUGAAAUCCCUGGGCUCAACCCAGGAACUGCGUCCGAUACUGGUUGGCUUGAAUCCGGGAGAGGGAUGUGGAAUUCCAGGUGUAGCGGUGAAAUGCGUAGAUAUCAGGAGGAACACCGGUGGCGAAGGCGGGUCUCUGGGCCGAUAUUGACGCUGAGGAGCGAAAGCGUGGGGAGCGAACAGG